rnacentral:lncRNA from 1 species
CUUACAGGUUCAGAGACUCAGAGCAUAAUCAAGAGAGAAAGUACAGCAGGGUCCAGGCAGGUACGGCACAGGAGGAGCUGAGAGUUCUACAUUUUGUUCAGGAGGCAAACAGUAGAAGACUGGCUCCCAGAUGACUAGAAAGAGGGUCUCAAAUCCUACCCCAACAGAGACACACUUCCUCCAGCAAGGCCACACCUAUUCAAACAAGGCUACACCUCCUAGUUGUGUACUCCCUCAGCCAAGCAUAUUCAAACCACCACACUGGAAAUUUUUUUUCAAAUUCAAACCAGUAUAGGGAUACCUGAUGUGACUCCAAUAUUGAAGAGUUGAACAGUGAGUGGUUAAAGACUUCCAUCCAUUCUUCAUAAAAACAAAACAAAACCAAAACAAAACAUACUUCUUGGGUGAACAGUGUAUCAGUAAUUACCCUUGCUUUUGUCUCAUGCUUAAAUUUUAUAAUGUGUUCUAAAUUUACAGCCUGUGGUAAUGGACUUCAAACAUUCUUUGCAUUUGUAACGUUUGUUUCCAGUAUGGAUUCCAGGAUGAUCUAUAAGAUUUGAGAACCAAGUAAUGGAUUUUGAACAUUCUUUACAUCUGUAAAGACUCUCUCAUGAAUGGAUUCUGUGAUGUUUUUGGAGAGAUGAGUCCUUAGCAAAAGAUUUGCCACAUUCUUUGCAUUUGUAAGGUUUCUCUCCUGUAUGGAUUCUGCAGUGGCUUUGAAGAUGUGAGCUCUGGGUAAAGGACUUGCCACAAUCUGUGCAUUUGUAAGGUUUCUCUCCAGUAUGGAUUUUGAGGUGGGUUUUAAGAGUUGAGCCUUCAGUAAAAGACUUGCCACAUUCAUUACAUUUGUAAGGUUUCUCUCCAGUAUGGAUUCUGUAGUGGGUCUUAAGAGUUGAACGCUGGGUAAAAGCCUUUCCACAUUCUUCACACUUAUAAGCUUUCUCUCCAGUAUGGGUUUUGUGAUGUUUUCGAAGACAGAAGCUCCUGGUAAAGGACUUGCCACAAUCUGUACAUUUGUAAGGUCUAUCUCCAGUAUGAAUUCUGCUAUGAGUUUCAAAAUUUGAUUGUUUGGCAAAGGACUUUCCACAUUCUUUACAUUUGUAGGGUUUCUCUCCUGUAUGGAUUCUGUGGUGGGAUUUAAGAGAUGAGCCCUCGGCAAAAGACCUGCCACAAUCUUUACAUUUGUAAGGUUUCUCUCCAGUAUGAAACCUGUGAUGAAUUCGAAGAGAAUAGCCGUGAGUAAAGGACUUGCCACACUCUUUACAUUUAUAUGGUUUCUCACCAGUGUGGAUUCUCUGAUGAGCUUGCAGAUAUGAACCUGUAGUAAAAGAUCUUUUACAUAUUUUACAUUUAUAAGGUUUUUCUCCAGUAUGGAUUGUACCAUUCUCUCUGUAGCCUGAGAACUGAGAAAAGGACUUCCCACAUUCUGUAGAUUUGCAUGGCGUUCCUCCAGGUUGAAGCAUCUUAAGUCUACUGAGGUCUGAAGAACUUCUGGAGCAUUUCCCAGAUUUCCUAUAUUUUUGUUGAACAAAGGAUCUCGGAUGCCCAACAAGUUUCGAAGGAGAGGUAAUCUCCAGUCUAUAUUCUUUAUAUUUCUGAGGUUUUUCUCUAGUAUGGCUUGAAUCAUUUUGAGUCAUAUUUAAAUAGAAAUUGAAGGAUUUAUCACUUCCC